rnacentral:piRNA from 1 species
UGCCUUCAUGAAUGCAAAAUGAGAUGG